UGUCCACCUGAUACUGCUGGCAUGGCCAAGUUAAAGAAAAGGUCCAUAAAAACGCCAUUAACACCAACUUUACUACGGCCAAUCCUCCCUAUGCCUUCUUCACCUGCCUCUGGACCUGUACAGUUCCAAGUGAUAGUGACACCACCACUGCCUACAACCAUGGUACCAACUGUACAGCCAGGACAGAAGAGGAAAGCUGUGGAUGCAGGGAUGGUAAAGAAAAGAAAAACCGCAACUGUCAAGUGCCCUAAGUGUGGAGAAGAGAGAACACCUCCCACUCACCAACAGUACAUGGGCUUCAGAUACUGUGGAAAGACAGAGACAACAUCCUUUGAUGAAUGGAGGGCAAGUUGAAAAAAAAGGGCCAGGAAAGGAAAGGACCACAGUAGAGCCAAGUGAAGUCUGCAGCAGGGCAGCCAGUUUCCACAGUAGAGCCUCCUCAGUCAUCUGUUGCUACCAUACAUUUAUAUGAAGGACAAUUUGUGGAGAAGGAAAUGGACUCCAUCCACUUAUUUGGCCAAGUUAGACAAUCCUGAUUCUAAUGCAGACAUUCCAGUCCCCAUGGUCAGAAGCUCUUCAAUCAGGUGAAACACCAGGAACAACAGAGGAAACUGUACCAUCAAAGGAUGGCUGUACUGUAAGUGGUACAUUAGGCUAUGGUGAUGUUCACAAUACUGAGAGUGACAUAUGUUUGGGGGGUGAGGUCAAAGCUUGGAGGGUCAAAUGUCAAGGUUUGAAGAGUGAAUGGCUAAGGUGUUCAGGACGAAGAGUCAAUGUUUGUAGAGUAAAAGGACAUGGUUUGAAGGAUGAAAGGUCAAGGCUUGGAUGGUGAAAGGUUUAAAUUUUGAAGGUUAAAGGUCAAUGUUUAGAGGGACAAAGUUAAGGGUUUGUAUGGUAAAAAGUCAAGGUUUGGAGACUGAAAGAUCAAAUUUUUGAGGGUUAAAGGUAAUAAUUAAGGUUUGGAGGGACAAAAGGAAAGGUUUAUGAUUGCAGUGUGAGAGGUCAAGGUUUGGAGACUGAAAGGUCAAGGUUUUGAGGGUGAAUUGUUGGGUUUUUUAGGUAUAUUUCAGCAGCAAUAGUAAUAAAGUGAAGUUCGUCUGA